AAUGUGUAUACAGAUGGAGCAAGCAAAAAAAUGAGUAUCAAACUCAAAUAAAUGUAAUAUAGAAAUUUCACAUGUGUUGAAGAGAGAAAAGUAAUGAUAUUGCACAUAUUAAGAUGGAACAUACCAUUCAGUUACAUUCUUCUAUUAAUAUAUACAAAUCUAAUUACUGUUGCACUGGUUACUAUAACACUGCUAUUUCAAUAAAGCUGAGUUCUUUAUGUCUUCAAGUAAAUGAUUUUGGACUAUUUCUUCCAUGAAUAUAGUCACUCUGUUUGAACAUGUCCACAUUGUGUAUGUAGCCGUUAACUUGGACUGAAUAAUAUAAAUUAUAUGUCUAUACAUAUUUGUUACUUUUUGUAUGCAAGAUAUUAAUAUUACUUUCGUGUGUAUAUAAGAUUAAUUAAUUAAAAUGAAAUUUUAAUUUUGUCAAUUUCAUGCAUUUCUCUGAGACUAUUCAUAGUAAAGAUGUAAAGUCUUCAUCAAUUUUUAAUUGUUACUUUCCAUAAUUUACACUAAUUAUGCACAUAUAUAUGCACACACAUAUAUAUAUAUAUUUCAAGUAGUUUCAACAGUUCUGAAGUCAACUUUAUUAAAUAGUACGAAAAUUAUUGUACCUGUAAUUUAAAACUUUUAUUAAGUGAGUUCGAGGGACCAAAACUACGCGGCAAUAUGGGAAGUUUUAAAAUUUCAAGUUCACUUCCUCGACGACAGAAAACUCUCCGUCCAAAUUGUUCGUCGUCUUUAAGACAUUGAUCCUCGA
rnacentral:lncRNA from 1 species